GGGCCGUUAAAUAUGCACUGUAUUUUUGGGACUGCUGGAUAUGGAGACAGCUUUGUUGUAGGGUGAAUUCCUUUGGUGAUGUUACGAAUACUAUAGGGAAAUUGUAUUGGGAUUUUUGUAUUUUGUGAGAUUUUUGGCCUGGUUUGGAUAGCUUAAUCAUGAAAACCUGAGAUUCCUUGAACUUUUUCUUUUUAAAUUAUUAUUUUCAAAAUCUGCCCUUAUAGGAUCUGAACAAGUCAGAAACUAUUGAAUUCGGAUUAAUAGUAAAAAGAAUAAUUUGAUUAGAUUCCUAUAAUGGAGGAUCUCUCGCCUAAAAUAAAUUCCUUUCAUUUUUUCAAAUCUUAAGACAUAACAAGUCCACGUUUUGGGUUGAAUUUGAGCUUAAUCAAUUAUUAAUUUUAGUGUACUGAACUGAAUUAUUAUUAAUUAAUUUUUUUAAUUUUUUAACUGUUAACCGAAUCGCUUUUUUUAAAUUAAUUGAACUAAAAUAUUUCAGUUAAUUUAGUCGGUUAGUCGAAUUAAAUGAAAUAUAUAUAUUUUUUGUUAAAACAAGUAUAAAACAUAAAAAAAAUUGAUAAUUUUCAUUUGACUGAAUUAUCCGAAUUAAAAUUACAUAUAAUUUGUAUUAUUAAUUAUUAAGUUUGGUUAAUUACUCGAUUUCGAACCGAAUUAACUAAUAUUCAAACUUUCAAAAAAUCAUUAGCCAACCUCUGACCGAAUUAGAUCGGUUAAUCGAUCGAUUAACCGAAUUAGAUCUGUUCGGUCGGUUAAUUCGGUUUUAACCAAAAUUUGAACACCCCUACUUUAGCGCACUUGAAUCCAUGUCCUCCUACACUGGCAACAAUCCCGAUGCCAACCGAGCUAAGACUCAAUUGACAUUUUUCAUUUGCUUUUUUUUUUCUCAACUUUUGGUUGUUUCAAAAUAUUUUACUUGAGUUUCGAUUGUUUUGAGUUUGUGUCAUUUUAAACUUAGAUAAUUUAGGUUGGGGUUCAUAUAGUAAAAGUAUCAUGGAAACCCUUGUACUAGGAAUCAGUUUGCAUUUUACAUUCUUUACUUUAAAAAUGGACAGUUAGUCCCUAUAUGUUAGAUCAAAGAACAAAUUGACCGUUUCAAUUAAAGUUUUCAUCCAUUACUACUAUUAAAAACUGGUGUGACCAAUGGAAUAACCGGACAAUCACACGUAUACCUCCAUAAUACUUUUACCAAUUUCAAAUAUUUAUUCAAAUGGUUAGAGGUGGAUAUCAUUUUUAAAUUUGAGUUAUUAAAUUUGUGAUUAAAUCAGAUUUGGGUGGAAAUUCUAGAUUGGGAUCAUAACAAUCAAGAAAAUCAUGUAUAAAAAUAGAAGUGGAUUAUUGGGAAAGUUUGGAACAAUUUGGAACAAGGUGCUGACCUUUCAUUAUCAAAGUCAAACAAUAAAUAAAUGAAAAAGGUUGGUGAGAAGGUUAGGCCAAGAGGCAUAGAGAGACCAGUAAAUAGGUGUAGCGCACGUUUCCAGCUUAGCCUCGCUGCUCAGCAUCGCCAAUUCCCCAUCUAACAUUCUUACUCUGAUAUUAUAUUUCACCCCCCAAAAAACAAUCACUACACAAUAUAACUAAACUAUUGUUGACUUGAUUUUUAAAAAAUUAUAAAAUAUUCACAGAAUUAUUCGAAAAUUUUUAUUUACAUAAGUGAGUUAUUAAGGUUUUUUUUUAAAGUUUGACUAAUGAACUUCAAGGAAUAAUUUGAUGAUUUGUAUAGUAGAUUAAUACUCAUUGUCGAGUAGAAGAGCAUACAUUAGAUUCAAGUCGAUUUGACGAUCAAUGUUGGAGAGUAGAGAAGAAAGUUAUUUUGAUUUUGGUUCGCAGAUUCAUUACAUUCAAUAAUGUUUCAUGAAAAAAAAUGUAGAAGAGGAGGAAGUUAGCUUUUGAUUGGUUCAAGUUGUGCGAAUAGAGAAUAUCACAUUGCAGGAAAUUUAACAGUCCAAUGACUUAAAUAAAUACUUUCGAAUGGUUUAAUGACCAUUUUAUAACUUUUUGAAGUUGAAUGAUCAAAACAUAAACUUACUAAUAGUUUAAUGACUUUGAGUGUAGUUUACCCUCAAAAAAUUAGAAUAAAGUCUAAUUUGUACAAAAAUUUAAAAUACAAAAUUAGUAUAAAAACAAAAUUUUAAACCGAAUUGAAUUAUUGUGAGCAGUUAAAAAUUCAAAAAAACCUGAUCAAAACAUAAACUUACUAAUAGUUUAAUGACUUUGAGUGUAGUUUACCCUCAAAAAAUUAGAAUAAAGUCUAAUUUGUACAAAAGUUUAAAAUACAAAAUUAGUAUAAAAACAAAAUUUUAAACCGAAUUGAAUUAUUGUGAGCAGUUAAAAAUUCAAAAAAACCUGAUCAAUUUGAACUAAACUCACCCCUUGCCACAAUUAGGUAUGACAAAAAAAACUCAAACUUGAUACGUUCUCACCCGACCUGAUCCGAUAAGAUCAUAUUUUGUUGUUUUUGAAAUUGAGUUUGGAGACUAGUUGAGAUGGGUCAAAUUAUUCACCUUCUCGCCACACGACUAGACUAGGCUGUACCUUUAGUAAUAUUAAUUCUCGGCGGCAUCUACUUCCCACAAACCUGUUUAUGGCAGCAAAUUAAUAGAUAGUUAAUGAAAUUAUGAAUUUGUGUGCACAUAAUGUUCAACCACUAAAAUUAAAUGACCGAUCGGGGUUUUAAAUCUAUACUUUUAGUAAGCUAAGUUAUUGAAUUUCGUAAAUCUAUCAACUAGGGCGAAAUUAGAAAUUUUGUGUACCAACAUUGAGAUACUUUUGAGGGAGCUAAAAGAUUUAAUGGAAGGAUUUAACGAGGGGGCUAAAUUAAAUUCUUAAAUUUUUAGAAGGGAUAAAUAGGAAAUUGGACCAUUUAAACAAAAGGGCCAAAGCUAUUGGCCUCUGGCUUCGCCCCCCUAUCAAUUUCAACUCAAAUCCAAAUAUGAUCCACCCUAUUUUAUUGUAAAAAAGUCAAUACACCUUAAAUUGAUGAAACGAAAUUUAAUCUGAUUUGAAAUUUACAUAGACGCAAAUUCAUAAUUAUCUGAACCUAAAAUGACUCCGACCAAUAACUCAAAAUACUUAGAAUUUGAAUCUCACACCAAGGGAUGGAGAUAGAAUUUUCUUUUGAGAGGGCUAGAAUUGAAUAAAAAAAAUUUUCAAUGCCAAACCGUAAACUUUUUCAUUGUAUUACUUUGUAUUCUAACAACUUUUAAAGGGACUAUAAAAUAAUUUUAUCAUUGGCAAGAGUGCAAGCAAAAAUCUUACUAACUUUCUUAGCAUUCCCAUUUCCCCAACCAAAAUAGCUCAGGAAAUUUCAAAUCCCAACAUGUAAUAGUCCGUUUUCAGUGAAAUCAGAAUAGUGGUUUCGGGACCACAAAUCUGAGUCCGAAAGAAAAAUAAUUUUAAUAUUAUUUCAUGGUCUGCAUUAUGAUUGAAAUAUCGUAUAAAAAUCUUGUUAAGAAAAUUUUACUGAUUUUAUGUUUAAUUUGAGAGAAAGGACCAAAUUUUAUAAAGUGCAAAAGUUGAAUUCUAGUAGCUAGAGUGAUCAAAUAGCUAUGAAAUUCAAAAUUGAAUAGGUGGAGGAGGUGGCAUAGACGGCACUGGUGAUGCCUCUGGCAGAUGCGGCACCACGGUGGCAGGCGAUGAGACUGCUCAUGCAGGGUAUUUGUUUUUAUUAUGUGUUUGGGGACCUUAUAAUGAUCCCCAAGGUUCAUUUUUGGCCGGUGAGUAAAUGAGAAAAAAAGAAGAGACGAAGCAAAAGGAGAAGGAGAGGGCAGGAAGGGAAGGAAAGGGAAAAAAAAGAAAAAAAAAAAGAGGAGAGAAUGAGAAUAGAGACAGGGAAGCAGAAAGAGAAGGAAAAAAAUAAAUAGAAAAGGAAAGGGGAGUUUGUUUUGUUGUUUAGGAAAGAUUAGGGAUUUAAGGAAAGGUAAUUUUUUUGUUAUAAAUUAAUGGAUUAAUGUUAAUUUAAUUUGUUUUCGUUGUUAUUAUUGUUGAUUUAAUUCGGAUUUAAUUUUUAAAUUUCUUUUUGUAAGGUAUUAUUUGGUUAAAAAGAGCUAUUAAGGUAUGAUUGUAUUUAUUUUAUAUUUUCAUUCAUUCAUAAUUUAUUUUUAAUGUUUAUUGAAGUAAAAAAGCCUAUUUAUGUUAUGUACAAAGAAUGCCUUAUUUUUUUAUGUAAUUUAUUUUUUAUGUGUGUUUUAGGCUGGUUAGAUUUAUUUUUUAUGAAAUUUAUUUGGCAUGUUAUUUUGAUUAUUUUAAUUUUAUUUUUUUAUUUUUUAUGUUGGUAAAGAUGAGACCAUUGAUAUGAAAUUUGGAAUUUGUGAAAUAAAUUAGGAAUUAGUUGAUAUUUUUAAUGUUUAAUGUUUAUUGAAGUAAAAAAGACCAUUGAUUUAUUUAUUUUUAUUUUUUUAAUAUUUUAUAAUUGAGAAUAAGAGUUUAUGUUUUUAAAUUUUAUUUUAUGUUAUUUUUAUUAUUUUAAUUUUUUUUGUAUUUUAUGCAAGUAAAAGAUUAAACCAUUGAGAUGAAAUUUGUGAAUGUGACCAUUGAGUUGGAAUUUAUAAUAUAUAUUUAUUUUGUUAAUGUAGUAUAACAAAAAAAUAUGAUGUGGACAAAAUUGUUUGGUAUUUUUCUGUAAUUAAAAGCAAUAUAUAAAAUUUAAGUAUUUUGAUAAAUAUUUAAAAUCCAUCAAACUUUGAAAUUAAUAACCGAAAUUUGUUUUGAAAUUGCAGGUAUCGCAAUAGGUUCAUUGAUUAAGAACGAUGGUCACAUAUCAAACACAGUUAAUAAUAUGGUAAUAUAUUGUUAUUUGUUAAUCACAGGUUCCCUUAAAAAAAGAUCUACGUAAUUUACAGAAAUAAAUUAUGUUAUUAUAACUAUUUUUUGUUAUUUAAUACUGUCAAGGCCCGUACCGUGCAUUAAGGGGUCGGGUGAAUGGUUUAGAAUAUUCCCCGGAUGAACGACUGAUGCCAUACUUGGAGUUAAAUGGAUUCGGGUCAGCAGCAUUGAUCCAGACGUUUAAGAGUCUUGUCCGCCGAUGCUCAGUCCAAUUUUACGAGUUUGAAAUUUUCAUGGCUGAAAGCCAAUUUUGAACAUUUAUCAAUUAAUGCCACUUAGCAUGAGGUGAUGUGCGCAGCUCGAGCAUACAUUAUGCAUAUUGUAGGGGGUGUACUGAUGCCGGAUGCGAACAACAACAGGGUUCAUUUGAUGUAUUUACUCGUAUUAGCUUAUUUGCAGAAUGUUCGUUUACAACAGGCUAUGUUGUAUCGUGAGCUUUGUCGGACAAUAAAGCCUGAUGCCGUAGAUAUAGGCAGAUGCCUUGUAUUGUUGCAGUCAUGGGCUCUUUAUCGGAUGUCAUUUUUGGCAUCGGUUAGGCACCAACCAUACGUAUUUUCACUAAUGAACAAGUGAUAAAAUUUAAUUUGUUAUUAAUUAACAUUUUUUUUUCUAAUUAUACUAUUCUAACGAUACUAUUCUAACAAGUAAUUUGUUUUCAUAGAUGAAGUUUUUAUCCUGGUAUUGGGAGGUCGUACACUGUCUCGAUAUAUCGUCUGAUGAUUAAACAACAUGCUGGGAACGGGGUAAGCGAUUCCAAUAUUCGUGACAUGUAAUUACUUUGUAUAUCUUACUCGAACUGUGUUAAAUUUUAACCAUGUUAUUAAUCGUGCAGUUUAUCUGGAUGCCGUAUCGGAUACCAGAAAUUGCGGCUAUUAUACACUCGUCUACCCACAUUCAUUCUCACCUGUGGUGUGUUAACGCACCAAUUAUCAAUUUCCAGACAGUCGAUUGGUAUAACGGGGAUCGAAUACUCCGGCAGUUUGGUUGCAUCCAGUAUAUCUCGGAUCUGCUAAUGCAGUUGAGGAUGAUUCACAGGAUCAAUAAGAGAGGAAAACAUGGAAAUAAUUGGGGGGUUGUGCACUGGAAAUAUAUUACAGUGUGGGAUAAUCAAAUGGCACGGAAACCUCAUAUGGAUAUUUCUUCUGAUUUGCAACCAUCGUUAGAGUACAUACAAUGGUACUCUAGUACGGAAAAACCAUAUUUACUUGGUGGGCAGUCGACUGUAGUCCCCCUGCACAUGCAUCAACCUGGGGCAUAUGAGACAAUACCGGAUAUAGAGGCCGAGCCUGAGCUUGAGCCUGAGCCUGAGCCCAAACGGUCGCAUACAUAUUCGACUGAUAGUUCUUAUCAUCUAGAGUUACGAGUCAAUGACUAUUUCCUAUGCUCGUCAGGACACGGAUAUCAUUUCGGAUUUGAUAUCUUUGGGUCGUAUCCACUGCAGUACAACACUCUUCCCAGUCCGUUUGCACCACAUUACUCUAUUCCUCUUGGGUCGUAUCCAUCGCAGUACGGCACUCCUCCCGACUCAAGUUUAUUGAUGGCGUUUGGGGUAUAUGAUUUUUCUUCCAUGUUUCGCACACCCUCACCUACGACUGAAGAGGAUGUUGAUUGCGAAAAUCACCCACAACGUGAAUUUCGACCCCGUAGAAAUAUACCCCUAUGACCACACCAUCAAACCAUCAAUUUUAGGGGCUUCUUGCAAUUUAAAUAUUACAAAGUUUGUACUUUUUUAUUCUAAAAAAAUAUAAAUUAAGAAAAAGACAAUCUUUGUAUUUAUUUAAUUAGAUUAAUUGCAACAUUAAAACUUGGAACAAACUUUCUGGUCAUAAAUUAGAUCAAUUGCAACAUUACAAUAUUAAAUCACUAAAACUUGUAACAAUUUGUAAUAUAAAUUUUGUUAUAUAAAUUAAACACAUUACAACAUUAAAAAUUGGAACAAACUUUGUAAUAUAAUUUAGGUACAUUGAAUUACAUAAGCUCAAUUCCUACCUGAUUGUGACAAUUGUCCAACAUGGUAGUUUCGUUACAGGCAUUUACUUCGAUUAUAACCAGCUAAUUUGCAUAAUCCACAACACUUACCGUCAGAUUUCUCCCUAAUGUCCAUUUCAUUACGAAUUCUGGAUGAUUGUGGACGACCUUUCGGAGUCCUACGCAACCCUUUGUUUGGGACAAGCUCGAAAAUCAUCGGAGGUACCUCCCACGUAGACAGGUUAGGCAGGACGGGGAAUUCAUUCUCCCAGACAUGCAAUGUGCGCUCGAGGGUGUACACGCCACCGAAAAAUUGUUCAACAUUGUGCAAGACUUUAACACAUACUGCCACGACAUGCGCACAUGGAUAAUGAAAUGUUUGGAUACUCCUGCAAUCGUACCGUUUGUUUCGGAGAUCAACUCCAUAGGAUCUAGGUGGUAUACUGGGUCGAUGACCGAUGGUCUCCGAAACUCAAAAUGUUUCAAGACGUCGUGAAUAUACUUUUACAUUCAUCGACCUCGCUAUCCGACGGUUUGCAACCAUUGUAUCCCUAACAUCUUCGACAAACACGUAUCCCGCCUCCAUCUGAUUGACUUGUUGCUGAUCCAUUCUUAGCAUCAAGGUAGCCAACCUGUAAAAUGUAGCCGAGAAGACAGAUGAAAUCGGAAGAUGUCAUGUUUUCAACAACACAGCGUUGAUCCCCUCCACUAAGUUUGUAGUCAUUUGACCAUAACGAAAGCCCUCGUCAAAACUUUGAGCCCAUUUUCACGGCUCCAUGGUACCCAACCACUGUCGGAAAGAUGUGUUCAUUUGACCCUCUAUGUCACUCUCAAGUCAAGUCAUUCUUUGGUGGAAAAUGUGUGGCUCUAGCUCGUGUGGUGUAUAUGUAUUAAGUAAAAAUACGUUACAUUAUUGUCCUAAAACAUUAAAACUUAUAUUGAAAAGAUAAGGUUAUCUUUUACCCAUUCUCACAACUUGUCUUCGCCAGUUUGUAUUCUUAUAAUCUCGAUAGAAGUUAGCCGCGAUGUGUUGGAUGUAGUAAACGGAUCUCCAUGGUACACUGGAACGCCUAAUGGCGACAAUUAAUCAUUUUUCUCUAUCGGAGAUAAUGUAAAUAUUAUUGUUGCUAAUAACAUACCUCCGCAGGUUGGUAAGAAAGAAUUCCCUCGAUUCCAUGUUCUCUUUAUCUACGAUGACAAAUGCUAUCUGGAGCACCUUCUUGUUGCCGUAUUGAGCAACCGCAAGAAGUAGAAUCUGUGUAUAUUUUCUGUAUAGUCAAGUACCAUCUACUUUCAUAAACGGCUUGUAAUGGGGAAAUGUACGCACACAUAGAUCAAAUGUCCAGAACAUCUGAUGGAAAUUUUUUUCCCGGUUGUAUUUGGUCAUCCGGGCCGUAAUAAGAUCGUGUCUGUAACUCAAUGACAGUCCCCGGUACGUACUCCCACAUAGCGGCUAUCCAUCCCUGUAGCUCAUUAUACGACGCAUCGAAAUCCUCAUACAAUUGCUCUAUUGCCAUCUGUUUAGCUAUCUAUGCCUUUCGGUAUGAUACUCGAGACUAGAAUCGUGCCUGCAUUUCGACAAUAAGUAUUGAAACUUUAAUGGUUGGCAUAUCCUUCACCAUUGGCAUGAUACACGUACAAAUAGUUUUGGAAUUAAGUUUUCAAUGAUCUUAUGUCAUACGUGUUGAUGUGCAUGUGUGAGGCCCAACAAAUUUUCGUAUCUCCCACAUCUGCGAAUUUUGAAUAAAUGCAGCUCGUACCUGCCAAUUGCAGCCUCCCGCCGACUUUCAACACUCCCCAAUAUAUAAUGUCAGUUUAGACACUACGACUUUGUAGUCCACUAAUAUAUUCAUGUUAUACCGCUUAAUAUCAAAUACGUACUCUUCCUUACUUUUGAAUCCUUGGCCUACAAAAAACUCUUUAGGAUCGAAAUUUACAGCCUACUGGUGAGCAUAUAGUAUUUCAGGGUACUCCGAGAACUCGGCUACGUGCGUCGUGUUGGGGUCUAUGAGCAACAUGUGUGGCCUAGGAUUAUUGUGUGGCUUAGGUUCCCAACUGAAGACGCGUUAAUGUUUCCAUCAUCAUUCACGUCUUCUUCGUUAAUAUCAUCGGGGAACUCGUCCACAUCGGGAUCACUAUCAUUAUCGACCUCUUGAUCACAAGGAUCACUAUUAUCGUAUCCACCAUCACCAACCACAUUAAUAUCCGGUGCAACAUUAAGAUCGAUAUCGAUCCCGUGUGUAGUCGAUUCACAAUCAACAUACAAUAUUGGAGCCACCAUGCACGAUUUUUGAGCUCCAUGUUCUUCACCAUAUGCAUUGAGAUAUUCAUUUGCCUCCACACCGACUAACUUAGCAAAUAAGUGGUUCGGUGCAUUUUGGUCACUCCGAUUUCCACAAAAAGAGCGAUAAUUGUCUCAACGUCUUCAUCGUCUACAAGUUCUAUUUCGUUGAAUUUGAUGGGAUCUGUCGAAACUGGAAACUUGUAGAAAUGUUUCGAGAUCCUUCUUCCACAACGUCUAACAAUUUUUGUGCUAAUCUUUUCCUUCAUAUCAUCGAAUGAGACAUUUUUAUUAAAUCUCAUUGCUAUUUUUUGCCGACAUUCAAAUAUACAUCCAACGAUUGUUGUCAAGAUGAUUCCAUCGAAAUAAACGCAUACGAAAAAUUGAUUAUCCAUCUUCAAUACUUAAUCUGUUAAAAAAUAAACAAAAAUUCUCAAAACAAUUUCGAACAACAUAAAAAUACUUACAUAAAAAAUUUAAUGAAUGAAAAGAGACCAUUUCUAACAAUAUCUAUGACAAAAAUAUUUUCAGUAUUUAUCUAUUUUUUUCCUGUUGUUAUCACUAACUAACAAUUACUUUAUAAUAGUUACUAACAUAAAAACUUUCAAAUAUAUUAAAAAAAUUUAAAACAUAACAUUCUCAAUAAUCUAAACACAAAACUUACUAACAAAUCACAAUAAACAAAAUAACUUUAAAACAAAACAUAAAAAUAACACUAAACAAACUAUCUAAUACUAACAAAAUAAAUUUUUCUUUUCAUAAUCUAUUAUAUUUAAACAUAAAAAUAAAAAUAAUAAUACCUUUUUCUUUCUUCUAUUGUCCUUCUCUUGUUCUACUAAUAUUUUUUUUUAAACUGAUACGAGCCAGAUGGGGGAGUGGGGGGAAAUAUACUAGGUGUGCCGCCUAUCAAAUAGGUACCACCAGUGCCGCCUAUCAGAUAGGCACCACACCCCUUUUGUAUUUUUGUACCCGUAUAUAUCCGAAUGGAAAAGUGGUGUCACCUAUCCCUUUGUCACCACUACUAAAAUAUUAUUAAUAUUAUUAUUAACUAUACUGUGUCAGAAUGAGGGUAGGGCUGCCUAUGUACCACCCUCCACCCAUUUGAAUGUACCAUUUUAGUACAUAAUUGUUGCAACAUGCCAUUUUGAUAUUUUUUUAUAUUAUUUAUGUAAAAAACAAGUAUAUUGUUAAAAAAUAUAAAUAUAAAUUCACCUUGGUGAUUGAGGCAAUGGUCACUUUGUCUCAUUUAUGUUUAAACUCAAUAAAGCACACUUAUGAUGGCAACUUUCCCUUAAACACUGUCAAUUCCAAGUAAUUAUUUGGUAAAUUGGUAAUAUAAUUUAAGAAUUUAUUUUAUGGACUCUUUCCACUACAUCAAUAAUGGUUAUUUUUUAAUUAUUUAAUAAUAUUUUAACAAUUUUUAUAUGUCAUUGACAUAAAAUUUUGAUAUUUGUUUACCUUGAAUGCUGAACCUAAACCCGAACCUAAAAUUUCAAAUCUUAAACUCGAACUCAAACCUUGAACCUCGAAACCAAAUCUUGAAUCCAAGUUUAUGGUUUAAGGUUAAAGAUUCAGGAUUCAGGUUUAGGAUUCGAGAUUCAUGGUUCAAGGUAAAAAAUUUACCAAAAUUAUGUGUCAAUGACAUAAAAAAUUUUGUUGAAAUGUCAUUAAAUAAUUGAAAAAUGGGUCAUGGAUUAUAUAGUAGGAAAAAUUUAUAAAAUAAUUUCUCGUAUAAUUUUAUUAGUGAAUCAAAUGAUGACUCAAUAUUUAAAUAAUUUAAAAUUAAAUUCACCUCAUUUUAUUUCUCAGAGAUAAAUAUUAAAAUUUAUACGAAAAUGUAUAAUUUAAGUUUGAUAUUUAUUGCUAUUUCUAAUGAUGUGACGUCGUUCAAUAAAUUAAUAGCGAAUCAAAUAAUAUCCCUACUCAAAAAAGUGUUGGGCUGAUAACUAAAACGAAUAUGGCCCAAGCAUCAAAACACUAUUACGAAACUACGACGUCGUUUCUUAUGAAGUCAACAAAGUCAAAAGGCCCUUUUAGCAAUGGCCCGAGAGCCCUAAAAUCCCAAGUCCACAGCAAACCUGGCAGGUUCUUCUUCUCCUCUCUCCGGCUUCCUUCCACAGUUCCAUUGGCUCUCUCUCCCCUACCUCUAUCUUCAACAUGAAGCUCGUCAGGUCAUUUUAUGCUAUAAAAAUUUCGUUUCUUUGUGUUUGCGAAGUGAAUGUGUAGCAAAAUUUAAAAAAACAAAAAUCAUUUUUGAUUCUUAAUAUAUGAUUUUGAAAUGUCGUGAGCAGGUUUUUAAUGAAGUUGAACAAUGAAACGGUGUCCAUUGAGCUUAAGAAUGGAACCGUUGUUCACGGUACCAUCACAGGUUCCACCUCUUUCCUCUUUCUCCUUUCCUUUUUUUUCCCGAAUUUAAGGGUUUAGCUAAACCCUAAACCCUCCGUUUAGCGAAUUUGUGAAACCUUGAUAUCCAAAAAGAAAUCUUGCAAUGUGCCAUAGGCAGUGAAGGUUUAUUUCAUAAUUUAAAUCUCAAUUGCGUUUUUUUUUGUGGCUGGACUAUUUGGUUAAAUUAGUUACUAUCUUUAAAAUUGGGGGAUCGAUUUAGGUGUUGUAUUAUAUAUUUAAGGUGAAUUGGUAUUGGACCUAUGAUUAUGGUAGUUUUGAUGUAUUGGAUUAGUGAUUCUUCUAAUCACAUCGAGUUUAGUAAUGAAUCAGCAAUCCGUUAGGUGAGCCUCUGGAAUUUGGUGAUUUUGGUAUGGCAGCCGGUGGUGAUUUUGGUGGCCAGAAUUUGGAAAUUGAGGGGGUUAGAAAUAGAAUCAAUAGAGAGCAAAAGGUCUCCUAAAUGCCACAUCAUUCAUACUAUGUUGAUAUUUUCCCACGUCAUUAACACACGUGUCUAUUGAAUCCGUGUUACCAUACCACAUGUAUGCAGCUGUAGGGUUGUAAAUGAACCAAGCUUGAACUAAUAGGCUUCUGUUCAUGUUCAUUUGUUUUUUUUAAGUUGUUCAUGUUCGGUUCAUUUUCAUUAAAAUUUUCAGAAUUGUGUUCAUGUUUGUAUAAGUGUUCAUGGUUGUUCAUUUAAGUUAAACGAACAAGUUCAUGAAUAUUAAACAAACAUGUCCAUGAAUAUGUUCAUGAAGUGUUCAUCGAACGCCUUGUUCAUUUACAGCACUAUGCAACUGUGCUAGAUAAUAGCAAUUUCUUGCCUGACUAGUCAAUUGAACUUGUUUUUACUUAAUUUUGAAAGCUUGUACAUGCAUAUACUGCAAAAUAAUAAAAGAUUAUAGGUUUAUUUACGGGCAAUAAGAUUUCAACAGCAUAGUUUCUUUUGCUUAUUAAAAGUUGAGGGUAUGUUUGUAUAUUAAGCCCGUAUUGCCCUACACCUGUUGGCAUGCAAAUUUUCAUGACUGGUUUAAUUUGCUACAUUUCUUUUAGGUGUGGAUAUCAGUAUGAACACCCAUCUGAAAACCGUGAAACUCACUUUGAAAGGGAAAAAUCCGGUCACUUUAGAUCACCUUAGCGUGCGGGGUAACAAUAUUCGUUACUAUAUCCUGCCUGACAGCUUAAAUCUUGAGACGCUGCUAGUUGAAGAGACACCUAGGGUGAAACCUAAGAAGCCAACAGCUGGUAUUUGCCGUUUCUCUCCUGCUGUUUUCCCAUGUGUUCUUAAUCCUACUUGUAUAAGCUUGUUUUUCUUGUAGUAUUGAUCUCUCUUAUGCAUUUCCAAAUUCAGGGAAGCCUUUGGGACGUGGUCGGGGUCGUGGCCGUGGGCGUGGACGUGGUCGGGGCCGUUAAAUAUGCACUGUAUUUUUGGGACUGCUGGAUAUGGAGACAGCUUUGUUGUAGGGUGAAUUCCUUUGGUGAUGUUACGAAUACUAUAGGGAAAUUGUAUUGGGAUUUUUGUAUUUUGUGAGAUUUUUGGCCUGGUUUGGAUAGCUUAAUCAUGAAAACCUGAGAUUCCUUGAACUUUUUCUUUUUAAAUUAUUAUUUUCAAAAUCUGCCCUUAUAGGAUCUGAACAAGUCAGAAACUAUUGAAUUCGGAUUAAUAGUAAAAAGAAUAAUUUGAUUAGAUU
rnacentral:lncRNA from 1 species